CUUCCAAAGUCGAAGAAUUCAGUUGCGAUUACAUCGUACGACUUGCAUGAUCAAUUUUGCUCCCCAAGAAAAACGAAAAUAUUGACAAGAUGAAGUUCGGUAUUUUCACUAUUGUGGUUAUGAUUGUUAUGGCUAUGAUUGCUACGGCUAUGGCUUCUGAACGAAACUGUAAACCUUCCGGUCAGCCUUGUAGAUAUGUCUAUGACUGUUGUCAUGGUCAAUGUGUUUCUAACAAAUGUUCGUGAAAAGAAUUUGACAUCGCCUGGACUAAAUAAGAGACCUCUUGAUUCUGGACCACAUUUUUCAAAUAUGUUAAAAUAAUGAUUCAAGAAUGAUAAUAUUGCUCAACACUUCUUUGUAUUUGACCAUGGCACUAUUUUUCGUUUAUAUUUAUAAAAACAAAGAGAGAAUUUCUGUUAUAACUAACUUUAAAUAAAAACGUACAUUCAAAA